GGGGCCGUAGCUCAGCUGGGAGAGCGCCUGCCUUGCACGCAGGAGGUCGGCGGUUCGAGCCCGCUCGGCUCCACCA
rnacentral:tRNA from 1 species